UGCCCUGAUGAUAGUACCAAUAGGAAGUGCCGUCCGAAGCGACAAGUGACGACGUCCCUAUUUAGCUGACU